AUGGCGCCGGCGGUGUCGGCGCUGGCCAAGUACAAGCUGGUGUUCCUCGGCGACCAGGCGGUGGGCAAGACCGCCAUCAUCACCCGCUUCAUGUACGACAAGUUCGACGCCACCUACCAGGCCACCAUCGGGAUCGAUUUCCUCUCCAAGACCAUGUACCUCGAGGACCGCACGGUUCGCCUGCAGCUAUGGGACACGGCUGGGCAGGAGAGGUUCCGGAGUCUGAUUCCAAGCUACAUCAGAGACUCUUCUGUCGCGGUCAUCGUCUACGAUGUAACUGACACGCAAUCGUUUCUUCAUACAUCGAAGUGGAUCGAUGAGGUGAACACGGCAAGAGGCAAAGAUGUGCUGAUCGUGCUCGUCGGAAACAAAACAGACCUCGUUGACCAGAGGCAAGUGCCCACGGACGAAGGGGAGGCCAAGGCCAAGGAGCACGGCGCCUUGUUCAUGGAGACCAGCGCCAAGGCCGGCUUCAACAUCAAGGCUCUGUUCCGCACGAUCGCCGCGUCCCUGCCUGGGAUGGACGCCCUCUCGUCGGCGAAGCAGGAGGACAUGGUGGACAUCAACCUGAGGCCCGCCUCCGGGCCAGCAGGCUCAGGCGCGCCUGGGCAGCAGGAGCAGAAAGCAGGAGGAUGCUCUUGCUGA
rnacentral:rRNA from 1 species